rnacentral:ncRNA from 5 species
AGCAGCCGCGGUAAUUCCAGCUCCAAUAGCGUAUAUUAAAGUUGUUGCAGUUAAAAAGCUCGUAGUUGAAUUUCGAGAUCAAAUUGUUGGUCGUGCCUUGGUACGCACUGGCAUUAUUGGUUUCUCCCUUCUGACGAACCAUGAUGUCAUUAAUUUGGUGUCUUGGGGAAUCAGGACUGUUACUUUGAAAAAAUUAGAGUGUUUAAAGCAGGCUCACGCUUGAAUACAUUAGCAUGGAAUAAUGAAAUAGGACGUUUGAUUCUAUUUUGUUGGUUUCUAGGAUCGACGUAAUGAUUAAUAGGGAUAGUUGGGGGCAUUAGUAUUCAAUUGUCAGAGGUGAAAUUCUUGGAUUUAUUGAAGACUAACUACUGCGAAAGCAUUUGCCAAGGAUGUUUUCAUUAAUCAAGAACGAAAGUUAGGGGAUCGAAGACGAUCAGAUACCGUCGUAGUCUUAACCAUAAACUAUGCCGACUAGGGAUCGGAUGAUGUUAAUUUUUUAAUGACUCAUUCGGCGCCUUAC